CGGUGGAUCACUCGGCUCGUGGAUCGAUGAAGAACGCAGCAAACUGCGCGUCGAAGUGUGAACUGCAGGACACAAGAACAUCGACGUUUCUAACGCACAUUGCGGCCCA
rnacentral:rRNA from 1 species